UACGUAGGGUCCGAGCGUUGUCCGGAAUUAUUGGGCGUAAAGAGCUCGUAGGCGGUUUGUCGCGUCUGCUGUGAAAUCCCGAGGCUCAACCUCGGGCCUGCAGUGGGUACGGGCAGACUGGAGUGCGGUAGGGGAGAAUGGAAUUCCUGGUGUAGCGGUGAAAUGCGUAGAUAUCUGGAGGAACACCGGUGGCGAAGGCGGCAUCCUGGACCAACACUGACGCUGAGGAGCGAAAGCCAGGGGAGCAAACGGG
rnacentral:rRNA from 1 species